rnacentral:rRNA from 1 species
AGAGUUUGAUCAUGGCUCAGGAUGAACGCUAGCUACAGGCUUAACACAUGCAAGUCGAGGGGAAACGAUAUUGGAAGCUUGCUUCCGAUAGGCGUCGACCGGCGCACGGGUGAGUAACACGUAUCCAACCUGCCCACCACUUGGGGAUAACCUUGCGAAAGUAAGACUAAUACCCAAUGACGUCUCUAGAAGACAUCUGAAAAGAGAUUAAAGAUUUAUCGGUGAUGGAUGGGGAUGCGUCUGAUUAGCUUGUUGGCGGGGUAACGGCCACCAAGGCUACGAUCAGUAGGGGUUCUGAGAGGAAGGUCCCCCACAUUGGAACUGAGACACGGCCCAAACUCCUACGGGAGGCA